ACGAACGCUGGCGGCGUGCCUCAUACAUGCAAGUCGAGCGAAGUUUUUCUGGUGCUUGCACUAGAAAAACUUAGCGGCGAACGGGUGAGUAACACGUAAAGAACCUGCCUCAUAGACUGGGACAACUAUUGGAAACGAUAGCUAAUACCGGAUAACAGUAUUUCUCGCAUGAGAGAUAUUUAAAAGUUGGUUAUGCUAACACUAUGAGAUGGCUUUGCGGUGCAUUAGCUAGUUGGUGGGGUAAAGGCCCACCAAGGCGACGAUGCAUAGCCGACCUGAGAGGGUGAUCGGCCACACUGGGACUGAGACACGGCCCAGACUCCUACGGGAGGCAGCAGUAGGGAAUCUUCCGCAAUGGGCGAAAGCCUGACGGAGCAACGCCGCGUGAGUGAAGAAGGAUUUCGGUUCGUAAAGCUCUGUUGUUAGGGAAGAAUGGAUAUGUAGUAACUAUACAUGUAAGAGACGGUACCUAACCAGAAAGCCACGGCUAACUACGUG
rnacentral:rRNA from 1 species